rnacentral:rRNA from 1 species
UACGUAGGGGGCAAGCGUUGUCCGGAUUCAUUGGGCGUAAAGAGCGUGUAGGCGGCCAGGUAGGUCUGCUGUGAAAACUCGAGGCUCAACCUCGAGACGUCGGCGGAAACCAUCUGGCUAGAGUCCGGAAGAGGAGAGUGGAAUUCCUGGUGUAGCGGUGAAAUGCGCAGAUAUCAGGAAGAACACCCGUGGCGAAGGCGGCUCUCUGGGACGGUACUGACGCUAAGACGCGAAAGCGUGGGGAGCGAACAGG